GAGUUUGAUCCUGGCUCAGAUUGAACGCUGGCGGCAGGCCUAACACAUGCAAGUCGAGCGGUAGAGAGAAGCUUGCUUCUCUUGAGAGCGGCGGACGGGUGAGUAAUGCCUAGGAAUCUGCCUGGUAGUGGGGGAUAACGCUCGGAAACGGACGCUAAUACCGCAUACGUCCUACGGGAGAAAGCAGGGGACCUUCGGGCCUUGCGCUAUCAGAUGAGCCUAGGUCGGAUUAGCUAGUUGGUGAGGUAAUGGCUCACCAAGGCGACGAUCCGUAACUGGUCUGAGAGGAUGAUCAGUCACACUGGAACUGAGACACGGUCCAGACUCCUACGGGAGGCAGCAGUGGGGAAUAUUGGACAAUGGGCGAAAGCCUGAUCCAGCCAUGCCGCGUGUGUGAAGAAGGUCUUCGGAUUGUAAAGCACUUUAAGUUGGAGGAAGGGCAGUAAAUUAAUACUUUAGCUGUUUUGACGUUACCGACAGAAUAAGCACCGGCUAACUACUGUGCCAGCA
rnacentral:rRNA from 1 species